rnacentral:tRNA from 1 species
GGCAGGGUGGUCCAGUGGUUAGGGCACUAUCCUAGGACUUGAGACACCUGGGUUCAGUUCCCUGCUUUGCCA